CCGAAUCAAAAUGCAGAUUGAUUGGACUAUUGGGUAAGACUUAAUGCGAGUUUAAUCGCAACCACCGGUCAGCUUUCUUGUAGAGAGUGGAUCCGGGCCAAGGUUGGACAAAAUAUUAAGAACCGCCGCAGCUGUUCGAUGACCCCUUUGGAAACCCGAUGGCAGGUGAACAUAUCCACAAAUUGGCUGCUCUCUCGUGUCCUGGAUUGAUGUUUCUGUUUGGAUGAAGAUGAAAUGAGAAGUGAAAAAAAAAAAAAGAGAUGAAUUUCAGCUGGAUUAUUCGUUCUUUCGCAACGCGGCAUGUGUAAGCGUGACUCACCGCCCCAGAACUAAACACACAGAAACGUCUAUAUUUCGGUAUCCGUGCCUUCAGGAGACGAGAGCCUCGGAGAGAAAAAACGGAUCAAGGCGUAAUCGAUGCAACAAAUGUACGUCGUGCGUCCUGCGCCAAGACCGUGCGUCGCUGCCGUUGUGUUUAUUAUACUGGAUCUGCAGAAGACGGAGCUCUGGGGAACUUGGAGCAAAUUUAUUUUCAGAGGAAGUGCCUUCCAGUCACACCAGUUAGAGCUAGAAAUUAAAAUAUCUUACUGAAAUAAAAAGAAAUGAAAAAGAAUAGCUCUUUUUUUCUUUUUUAAACCAUUAAAUAAUUUGUGUCCAUAUUAAAAAUCCUUCACACUAUAGUUCGCUUUGAAUUUCCUGUGUUAUUUAACACAACAGCCGUCUAUUUAUUUAAAUGAUAUGUAAAUAUGGAGUCCUGAUAAUCAGAUAAUAUAUAUUUAAAAAUGUAUGUUUUGUUCUGGAAAUAUAUUGUUUUGUGUCCCGCAGAUAGUUUUAUAGAUAUUUCUAUAUUCUUCAUUUUAUCCUCAUGUUUGAUUUUGUGUUUCUGUGAAUAUGAAAGUUGCCUCUUAUUUGUCCGAGUUGUUACGAUGCUGUGGUUCCGGUGAUGGUUAAUGUGGCACUUAUAGAUAUCAUUUCAAACAGUUUAAACAAAGAAAAGUCGAUAAUGGAAAAAUUGCACUGAUGUUUUGAAAAAAUAAAAAAAAAGAUUCAAGCACAUGACUGUGGUGAAAUUGUUUAAGAUGGG
ensembl:lncRNA